rnacentral:rRNA from 1 species
CUUUCCCUCUUUCUUCCGGCCUAACACAUGCAAGUCGAGCGGAUGAAGGGAGCUUGCUCCUGGAUUCAGCGGCGGACGGGUGAGUAAUGCCUAGGAAUCUGCCUGGUAGUGGGGGAUAACGUCCGGAAACGGGCGCUAAUACCGCAUACGUCCUGAGGGAGAAAGUGGGGGAUCUUCGGACCUCACGCUAUCAGAUGAGCCUAGGUCGGAUUAGCUAGUUGGUGGGGUAAAGGCCUACCAAGGCGACGAUCCGUAACUGGUCUGAGAGGAUGAUCAGUCACACUGGAACUGAGACACGGUCCAGACUCCUACGGGAGGCAGCAGUGGGGAAUAUUGGACAAUGGGCGAAAGCCUGAUCCAGCCAUGCCGCGUGUGUGAAGAAGGUCUUCGGAUUUUAAAGCACUUUAAGUUGGGAGGAAGGGCAGUAAGUUAAUACCUUGCUGUUUUGACGUUACCAACAGAAUAAGCACCGGCUAACUUCGUG